rnacentral:rRNA from 1 species
UACGAAGGGGGCUAGCGUUGCUCGGAAUCACUGGGCGUAAAGCGCACGUAGGCGGCUUUCUAAGUCAGGGGUGAAAUCCUGGAGCUCAACUCCAGAACUGCCUUUGAUACUGGAGAGCUUGAGUCCGGAAGAGGUGAGUGGAACUCCGAGUGUAGAGGUGAAAUUCGUAGAUAUUCGGAAGAACACCAGUGGCGAAGGCGGCUCACUGGUCCGGUACUGACGCUGAGGUGCGAAAGCGUGGGGAGUAAACAGG